rnacentral:rRNA from 1 species
UCCGUAGGUGAACCUGCGAGGGAUCAUUG